GUGACAAACCGACASAUGACGAGUUUUAUUUUACCACCGCGUGUCGGUACGGUUUCACGUCCUGASUBGGAUUKCGCUWACCCCGUGSUUUAUCACGCUGGAGACCAGAUUCCGUCCCUCGAUCCAGAGAUGGAGGGGGGUGCUUCAGGAUCUCACACCACGCCGGCCCGACCCCUGUCAAGAAGCUUGGGGCCUGACUUUUCGUAUCAGAAGCCCCGGAUACGGGGCAUUUGCGGAUGCUGUGCUGCUAUCUAUUHUCUAAAAUBACUCUCANAACGGAUAUCUCGGCUCUKUAUCGAUAAAUAAUUUAAAAUUUUGCAAUACUUGGUGUGAAUUGCAAA
rnacentral:misc_RNA from 1 species